AGCAGCCGCAGUAAUUCCAGCUCCAAUAGCGUAUAUUAAAGUUGUUGCAGUUAAAAAGCUUGUAGUUGAAUUUCGGGAUCAAUAUGUCGGUCGUACCUCGGUACGUACUGGCGUAAUUGGUUUCUCCCUUCUGAAGAGCCACGAUGUCAUUAAUUUGGUGUCGUGGGGAAUCAGGACUGUUACUUUGAAAAAAUUAGAGUGUUUAAAGCAGGCUCGCGCUUGAAUACAUUAGCAUGGAAUAAUGAAAUAGGACGUUUGAUUCUAUUUUGUUGGUUUCUAGGAUCGAUGUAAUGAUUAAUAGGGAUAGUUGGGGGCAUUAGUAUUCAAUUGUCAGAGGUGAAAUUCUUGGAUUUAUUGAAGACUAACUACUGCGAAAGCAUUUGCCAAGGAUGUUUUCAUUAAUCAAGAACGAAAGUUAGGGGAUCGAAGACGAUCAGAUACCGUCGUAGUCUUAACCAUAAACUAUGCCGACUAGGGAUCGGAUGAUGUUGAUUUUUAAUGACUUAUUCGGUCG
rnacentral:rRNA from 1 species